rnacentral:rRNA from 1 species
GUCUUUUUGAGUAUAAUUUAAAGUCUGACCUGCCCAUUGAUUUUUAAAAGGCCGCAGUAUUUUGACUGUGCAAAGGUAGCAUAAUCAUUAGUUUUUUAAUUAAAAGCUUGUAUGAAUGGUUGGACGAAAUAAAUUCUGUCUCUUAUUAAUAAUUAUGAAUUUAAUUUUUAAGUUAAAAAGCUUAAAUAAUUUUAAAAGACGAGAAGACCCUAUAGAUUUUUAUAAUAAAUUUAUUUAUUUAAAUUAAGAAUAUUUAGUUAAUAAUUAAUUUUAUUAUUUUAUUGGGGUAAUAGAGAGAUUUAAUUAAUUCUUUUUUAUUUUUAACAUGAAUUAGUGGUUAUAAGAUCCAUUAUUAAUGAUAAAAGAUUAAGUUACCUUAGGGAUAACAGCGUAAUUCUUUUAAAGAGUUCAUAUCGAUAAAAGAGUUUGCGACCUCGAUGUUGGAUUAAAAGUAAUCUUAGGUGAAGAAGUUUAAGAUUUUGGUCUGUUCGACCAUUGAAUUUUUACA